UCUCUCUUCGCUUGUCUUUCUCCAGUUUCUCCUCUCUCUAGUCCGUCGCCGGCUUCUUUUUCUUCGCCUCCGUCGCCGGAUCCGGUUCGAUCCUCACCGACGGCCUCCAUCUCUCCCUCCACUCUCUUUCCCAGCCUGUCGUCGGCGUUCAUCUCUCUCCCAGUCCGUCGCCGGCGCUUCUUUCUCUCUCCCCCUCCAUCUCCGACGAUUUAGAGGCACUGAGGGAUUUCCCACUGAGAAGCUCAACGCUUGCUUUGAGAGUAUUCCUGUUUCUGCUUUUCCUCCUGCUCCUUCCGAUCAAGGCAGUCCACGCAUUUGAAGAAAAUGGAGCUUUAGAGAUGUUGUGAUACUUUGUUUUGAAACUUUUGUAAUAUGGAUUUGCUCUUGUUACUGAGGCUUAAUUUCCCCGCUGAUCAGUGAGAAGAAAAGGUUGUUUAAUGACACAUUGACAACCAAAGCUAUUUUGGGGAGCCAAGUGGUCAUGCAGACUAAAUGGACUAUAUUGGAUGUUGAAGGGUUGAGGAAGCUGAACAAGAAUUUGGCUGAGAAAUUGUUGUUUAUGGAUUUUGGAAUUGUGUUUUGUUUUUUGUAAUGUGAUAUUUCUCAUGUUGUUUA